UGGGGAAUAUUGCACAAUGGAGGGAACUCUGAUGCAGCGACGCCGCGUGAACGAAGAAGGCUUUCGCGUCGUAAAGUUCUUUUAUAUGGGAUGAUAAUGACGGUACCAUAAGAAAAAGCCCCGGCUAACUACGUGCCAGCAGCCGCGGUAAUACGUAGGGGGCUAGCGUUGUCCGGAAUCACUGGGCGUAAAGGGUUCGCAGGCGGAAAUGCAAGUCAGGUGUAAAAGGCAGUAGCUUAACUACUGUAAGCAUUUGAAACUGCAUAUCUUGAGAAGAGUAGAGGUAAGUGGAAUUUUUAGUGUAGCGGUGAAAUGCGUAGAUAUUAAAAAGAAUACCGGUGGCGAAGGCGACUUACUGGGCUCAUUCUGACGCUGAGGAACGAAAGCGUGGGUAGCAAACAGG
rnacentral:rRNA from 1 species